UACGGAGGAGGCAAGCGUUAUCCGGAAUUAUUGGGCGUAAAGCGUCCGUAGGUGGCUCUUCAAGUCUGCUGUCAAAGAGUGGGGCUUAACCCUGCAAAGGCAGUGGAAACUGAAAGGCUAGAGAGCCGUAGGGGUAGAGGGAAUUCCCGGUGUAGCGGUGAAAUGCGCAGAUAUCAGGAAGAACACCCGUGGCGAAGGCGGCUCUCUGGGACGGUACUGACGCUGAGACGCGAAAGCGUGGGGAGCGAACAGG
rnacentral:rRNA from 1 species